UUGAACGCUGGCGGCAGGCCUAACACAUGCAAGCCGAGCGGCAGUGCGGGGCAACCUGGCGGCGCGCGGCGGACGGGUGAGUAACGCGUAGGACUCUACCCAGUGGCGGAGGACAGCCCGGGGCAACCCGGAUCAAUACCGCAUCCGCCCUAAGGGGGAAAGCAGGUGCUCUUCGGACCUUGCACUAUUGUCCUAGCCCGCGUUGGAUUAGCUAGUUGGUAGGGUAAAGGCCUACCAAGGCAACGAUCCAUAACUGGUCUGAGAGGAGGAUCAGUCACACCGGAACAGAGACACGGUCCGGACUCCUACGGGAGGCAGCAGUGGGGAAUAUUGGACAAUGGGGGCAACCCUGAUCCAGCCAUGCCGCGUGUGUGAAGAAGGCCUUCGGGUUGUAAAGCACUUUAAGUGGGGAGAAAGGUUCGGCAGUUAAUACCUGCCGGAAUUGAUGUUACCUACAGAAUAAGCACCGGCUAACUCUGUGCCAGCAGCCGCCGUAA
rnacentral:rRNA from 1 species